ensembl:lincRNA
CGCCUGCCCCGCUGGGGUCUGCUGCGCAUGCGGUGUUACCCUGAGACUCAGGGACAUAUCAGGCAUUAACUUGCAGACUCAGAAACCUGAACGGCUGUUAACAGCGUCAUCAGCCGCAUUCCAGGCACAGUGCCGAGAGCCUCACGUGUACUAAUCCACUUAUAAAAACUUACUCCCACCUAAUCGAUGAGGAAACGAAGAUAGAAAGGUUUAUGCAGGAAAGUACACAGCCGCCAAGUAGCAGAACCAGGUUCAAGACAAUGUUAACCGCACGCUGACCUCGUUCUCUAGGCCGAAAUAAUAUCCAGAAUUAACGAGAUAAAAUACCACCCUACAAACAAGGCAAAGGUGGUCCUGGGUGGCCUGUCUUUACUGCAGACUGGGGUCCGUGGGCUCAAAAGUCUCCAACGCCAAACUCAAACUUUCACACACCCAAUACCUAAAAUCAGCCCAAACAAGCAUAUUCCAGGCUCCAGGAACUGCUGCUCUGCCCAGGGGACCGGAUGGAAGUGCGGACUGAGAACAAGCCCUCCACUCGGGGCAGGGUCCAAAUCGGAUACAUAGCACAGCCACCCUGCAGGAGGCCCGCAGCAUGUGAAAACGGGCCGAGUGGGAGCCCUGUCAGAGAAAAGGAAGGGCCUGAUUCACAAGGGAGAGAGAACCAAGAGUCCCCAGAACCAUCAAGUUUCCUUCUAACCUGCGGGCUCCUCAGCCUCAGCCCUACCCACACCUGGUUAGCUGUUGUGGUGGGGGAGGGGGGACACGGGGCCGGUCCUACUGCAAGGUCCAUAGUAGUCUCCCUCUCUCCCCACAGAUGCCAGCAUCACCCCAACUGCAGUCCUGACCAUCAAAAAUACCUCCAGAAACGCCCAGUGUCCCCUGCCCUGGGGGUCAAGGUCACAGAGGCCAGCAACCACUGGGCCCAGCAGUUAACGAUCAGUGUCAGUACUGCUUCAACAUAAACCUUUGUGACUACCAGCAGCGAUACAAGGAGCAGGACAGUCCACAGAUCUUGAAACACUAUGGAUCCAAGAUGGAGAACAAAGCAUCACUUCUGCUCAAAUACUCUACUUAAAAUGUAAUUUUCCAGUAAGUAAACCACCAAUACUCUAUAACCAAUAUUCAAUGGACUUGUGAAACUUUUAGAAACUUGUAGUAGGUAGGAUCAAAUGUUAUUUUUAAUUUUUGAGUUGGGAAGAACCUGUACUAGGGAACAAAAUGGAGACUGAGUGAAGCGUGCAAGAGCACAGAAUUUAAGGGAUAAUGGAAUUAAUAAAGGAGAGAGUGUGGUUAUAUAAAGCAAUAUUGGAGCAGGUUUCAGAAAAGACAGAAGGAGGUCCUAACAACACAGAGGGUCCCUUUUCUAUCCAGGUCUGAGAUGAGAUAAAGUCUUAAGAUGAAGAAUGUUAUUCGGGUCAAUUACAUCUCUAAUCUCAGAAAGGUCGUGAGGACCAGUCCUCUAACUUGGUGGACCAGCUCCACCAGGACCACCCAGGGCAGGACCGUGGGACCGUGGUGGGUAGGACAGGAGCUCAGCCCUGGGCAGCUUCUGUUUGGAAGCCAGUCAACCUCAUCCCCUCCCCUUCACCGCAGGUGAACUCAAAACUGUUUCUGCAGAAGCACCUCCAAGGGGACAAGCACCUCCAAGGGGUCCUUCCAUUUCAGUGGCGAUCUCACUGAUGACGAUUUUGUAUUUAGGACGCUUUAAAUUAAAAAAAAAAAAAAACAAAAAAAACUUGAUCCUAAAUGCCUCUGCAUGCUUUUGCAUCACUUCAGUGUUUACGGACACGUUCCCGUCCCUGUCCUGAUGCACUUUUCAAGGGAGACCUGGGUCCACACGUGCUCUGGGACACAGACACUAGUGGCGCAGGAGGAGGGACAUGAAAGGAGCUGACUAUGACCGACAGUCAGCAACCGUGCCAUCACCACCAGGACGUUUUACUGUGACUUACUUGUCGGGGUUCCCUUACCCAAAGCAGGGGGCUGACACACGGGGAGCCACAGAGAGCACCUUUAAUCAACAUGAAGAAAUGCGUUCAAACCCCCAAACAGAGGCACCUGAAGCAGCUCUUCUCCUUAAACUCUUCUCUCUCUGAAAGACUCGCCUGCCUUUGCCUCUUGGAAGGAGGAUCCUCUGGUCCUACAGAAGCACCCCCACCCCACUGUCUCAGACUCCCUUGGGUCAGCCUGGUAAGAUGAGACUUACACUUACUAACCCCAAUAAUCUAAGAACAUGAAGCCUUCCUAUCUGGGCAGUUUGGUUUGAGUAGCCAAAUUAGUAGCCUUUCAUCAGGGAAAACACCAACAAAAAUAUCAGUGUCUGUGUAACACCAACUUCUAGACAGACUCCACACUCACAGCACGCCCGAGGGAACUGCCCCGUCCCCUUUCUUCUCCUAACCUCUCCUAAUGUCACAUCUCCGAGUAUCACAGUGUUUGUCAUUUUCCAUUUGCCUGUGUGAACCAGCUGCACUAACCAGCCUCUACUACAGAGGCAGCAGCUUAUGAAAGUUCAAAGUGACACCGCAGAGUGGGAAGGUCAUAAAUGGGAGUGUCCCCUCUCCCUUUCUUCCACGGAGUCUCUUCAGUGAUGAAGGGUGUUGGCACCAACCUAACUUCGGUCUAGCUCAGGCCACUGCUUAACAUUAACUAUAAAUGAUGAACCACCAAAAAGCUAAUGCUACUUAGGAAAAUAUUCUCACCAAACUAUCAACAUCCUAAAUUCUUCUGAGAAUAACACAGAAGUAUUAUACAUAAUGUAAAGAAACAUGAUCAGAAAUCUGUCCUCAAUGAUCCACCUACAUAAAUCUUUACUUCAAAUUGGCCCCACAUACUCCAAGAUUCAAAAAGACUGAGAAGAUGGUUUCCAGGAGCAAUCAUAAACACGAAAGAUUCAAGCAAGCUUUCCAGUUGCUCUGAAUUGAGCUAAGGAAUUCACCUUGAGAAGAGAGGUCCCCUUGGUGCACAAGCUACACAGAGGAUUUUACAAACGGUGGUGGCAGACACCCCCCUUUCCAGCCGGCAGGAGAGAAGACAGGGAGGAAGUCACAGAUUUCUAUCACUGCUAAUGCUGAAGAAACUCACAAUAAAUUGUGAUGGUUUCUGAUUUAACAUAAUAAAAAGAGGUACUCCCCACCUCUUCCCCACAACAACUACUACAUACAUACCAGAAGCAGGUCUGACAAUUUUCCAGCUGUUCACAAGCAGGCUGUAGAUAAACAGGAACUAGCUGUGGACUUCCAACAGGUACAAACCCUGUCCCAACAGCCCACCUGGGCGACUAAAUGGCCUCUGCUCUUCCAGGUAGACAGAAAACAUCACCAGUGUCGGGGCAAUGCAUCUAGGAUGGUCGGACUGAUGUCCAUGUCGGACACUGAACAAACACCCAGGGCUCAGGCAGAGGAGAGGGGCUGGGGUUCAUCUCAGACAAAAGCAAGCAGCAGCAGAACAGCAGGUCACGGUGAAUCAGGAACCGGAGGAGCGCUUGUAGCCCCACGAGGACCGAACUGGGAUGGCGGUGUCUGCCCUGUGCACACCCUGUUCCUCCAAACAAGGGGAAAGGACCGCAGGACACAGUCAGAGAGAUAGAGACCGGCCGAAGGAUCAGCCUCCGCCUCCCUGGAG